AAAGGUUAGAAAGCAUUGAGCUGGUUGUUUAAAGGUUAGAAAGCAUUGAGCUGGUUGUUUAAAGGUUAGAAAGCAUUGAGCUGGUUGUUUAAAGGUUAGAAAGCAUUGAGCUGGUUGUUUAUAGGUUAGAAAGCAUUGAAGUGAUGUAAAGAUUGGAGAAAAAAAAGUCACAAAAACUAUUCAAAAGUUAUGGCUUUUUCUCUCUUUCCCUUUCACGUUCUCUCGCCCCCUCUCGCUUUCCCUUUCUCGUUCUCUCGCCCCCUCUCUCUUUCCCUUUCUCGUUCUCUCGCCCCCUCUCUCUUUCCCUUUCUCGUUCUCUCACCCCCUCUCUCUUUCCCGUUCUCGUUCUCUCGCCCCCUCUCUCUUUCCCUUUCUCGUUCUCUCGCCCCCUCUCUCUUUCCCUUUCUCGUUCUCUCGCCCCCUCUCUCUUUCCCUUUCUCGUUCUCUCACCCCCCCUCUCUUUCCCAAACUAUUCACUCCUGGAUCGUCAUUCCUAGAAACCAACUCCUUCCUCCACUCAUUCCUUCCACUGCUUUACUUCAGGAGUCCCCAGAAAAGAAAAGAGAGAAGAUGGAGAGAGUGAACUCUUUCGUUCACCACUACUUCCUGUAUGUUUGCCCACCCCUCCCACACCCUAACCCUGAUCCUGAGGUCAAGAGGCUUGCCUUCGCUCUUACCGUUAGUCCCAGCUACAGCCGUGCGUGUGUGUCCGACGGGGAGUGUGUGAGACGUGCAGACCACCAUGCAGUCUUGGGAAAGUCCGACCAGUGAACAAGCUGUUGAUUUCAUCAAGGCUAUCCCUUCAUCGUUCACACACUAACUCCUCCUCCUCCUCUAACCCUCCCUCAUUCUCUGUAUCCGCUCCCUCCUCUGGCUUUCUGACACUGUCCUACUCUCUCUGUCUCUCUCAACUCCUCCCUCCUCUGGCUUUCUGACACUGCCCUACUCUCUCUGUCUCUCUCAACUCCUCCCUCCUCUGGCUUUCUGACACUGUCCUACUCUCUCUGUCUCUCUCAACCCCUCCCUCCUCUGGCUUUCUGACACUGCCCUACUCUC
ensembl:lncRNA